CAGUCGCCGCGGUAAUACGGAGGGGGCUAGCGUUGUUCGGAAUUACUGGGCGUAAAGCGCACGUAGGCGGCUUGGUAAGUUAGAGGUGAAAGCCUGGAGCUCAACUCCAGAAUUGCCUUUAAGACUGCCGAGCUAGUAGGUGAGAGAGGUAAGUGGAAUUCCGAGUGUAGAGGUGAAAUUCGUAGAUAUUCGGAAGAACACCAGUGGCGAAGGCGGCUUACUGGCUCAUUCUAGACGCUGAGGUGCGAAAGCGUGGGGAGCAAACAGGAUUAGAUACCCGGGUAGUCCCUGUCUCUUAUAC
rnacentral:rRNA from 1 species